rnacentral:rRNA from 1 species
GGGGGUGCUAUACAUGCAAGUCGAGCGGACAGAUGGGAGCUUGCUCCCUGAUGUUAGCGGCGGACGGGUGAGUAACACGUGGGUAACCUGCCUGUAAGACUGGGAUAACUCCGGGAAACCGGGGCUAAUACCGGAUGGUUGUUUGAACCGCAUGGUUCAGACAUAAAAGGUGGCUUCGGCUACCACUUACAGAUGGACCCGCGGCGCAUUAGCUAGUUGGUGAGGUAACGGCUCACCAAGGCAACGAUGCGUAGCCGACCUGAGAGGGUGAUCGGCCACACUGGGACUGAGACACGGCCCAGACUCCUACGGGAGGCAGCAGUAGGGAAUCUUCCGCAAUGGACGAAAGUCUGACGGAGCAACGCCGCGUGAGUGAUGAAGGUUUUCGGAUCGUAAAGCUCUGUUGUUAGGGAAGAACAAGUGCCGUUCAAAUAGGGCGGCACCUUGACGGUACCUAACCAGAAAGCCACGGCUAACUACGUGCCAGCAGCCGCGGUAAUACGUAGGUGGCAAGCGUUGUCCGGAAUUAUUGGGCGUAAAGGGCUCGCAGGCGGUUUCUUAAGUCUGAUGUGAAAGCCCCCGGCUCAACCGGGGAGGGUCAUUGGAAACUGGGGAACUUGAGUGCAGAAGAGGAGAGUGGAAUUCCACGUGUAGCGGUGAAAUGCGUAGAGAUGUGGAGGAACACCAGUGGCGAAGGCGACUCUCUGGUCUGUAACUGACGCUGAGGAGCGAAAGCGUGGGGAGCGAACAGGAUUAGAUACCCUGGUAGUCCACGCCGUAAACGAUGAGUGCUAAGUGUUAGGGGGUUUCCGCCCCUUAGUGCUGCAGCUAACGCAUUAAGCACUCCGCCUGGGGAGUACGGUCGCAAGACUGAAACUCAAAGGAAUUGACGGGGGCCCGCACAAGCGGUGGAGCAUGUGGUUUAAUUC